rnacentral:rRNA from 1 species
AGAUUGAACGCUGGCGGCAGGCCUAACACAUGCAAGUCGAGCGGCAGCACGGGUACUUGUACCUGGUGGCGAGCGGCGGACGGGUGAGUAAUGCCUAGGAAUCUGCCUGAUAGUGGGGGAUAACGUUCGGAAACGGACGCUAAUACCGCAUACGUCCUACGGGAGAAAGUGGGGGAUCUUCGGACCUCACGCUAUCAGAUGAGCCUAGGUCGGAUUAGCUAGUUGGUAGGUAAAGGCCUA